UACGGAGGAUCCGAGCGUUAUCCGGAUUUAUUGGGUUUAAAGGGAGCGUAGGCGGGUUGUUAAGUCAGUUGUGAAAGUUUGCGGCUCAACCGUAAAAUUGCAGUUGAUACUGGCAUCCUUGAGUACAAUAGAGGUAGGCGGAAUUCGUGGUGUAGCGGUGAAAUGCUUAGAUAUCACGAAGAACUCCGAUUGCGAAGGCAGCCUGCUGGACUGUAACUGACGCUGAUGCUCGAAAGUGUGGGUAUCAAACAGG
rnacentral:rRNA from 1 species